AUAAGCCUCGACUACUCUCUGAGCGGUGACAUCGCAGUGACGCCCCACAGCCUCGAUGUGCCUUUCAAAGGCAGGGUGUUCAGUCAGGAGGUUGCCAAUGAUGAUCCAAUAGAGGGACCUGCAGAUCCAGUCUUCAGAGAGACUAACCUAAUGGCUUAUAUAGGCGUCUCUGAGUUUUUCUUCAACAGUGCCGCCAGGUUUUUUAACAGAUCACAA